rnacentral:tRNA from 1 species
ACUUAGAUAGUUUAAAAAAAAAUUCUGAUUUGUGGUGUCAGAGAUAUGAAAUUUUCAUUCUUAGUC